AACAACAACAACAAAAAAAACUCCCUUCGUCCACUUCAAAGAGCCGGCUCUUUGAGCCAGCUUGUUCGCGACCCACACAUCACUUAUCUGCAGCAACUGUGGUACUGAAGCACUGGACCGGAGCACUGUGCAGCUUCUCUCAAAACAGGACACAAAGAAUGACUUUUCACAAGCUGGCGACUUGUCCAGGGUGUACCCCGCAUCUGCCAUGCCAUCAUGCCAGCUGGGAUAGGCUCCAGCAACCCCCGUGUGUGUUUUCCUUACAAAGGUAAUGGAAUAAUAAUCCAUCUGCACACCAGUUCCAGUCCAUCUUCCACCAUCUGAUGGUUCAGUGUCAGUCAGACAACAUGGUGGUGCAGGAUGACACGGUGUCCCUGUCUGCAGUGGACAUGUCCUCUGUCCUCUGACAACAUUUCAGCUCCGAGGCACCAAGGACGUUUUCUUGUUCAGGGAACACAUUGAGGAGAAACUGUUCCAUUGAUAACUAUCAUUCAAACUUAUUGUCAUUGGUUUUUUCCAUGUUCUUUAAAAUAAGGCUUCACCACGUCACCAAACUCGUCUCUCUUACAUUGCAGAGUGGCAGUAAAAGAAAUAUGCUAUUCAAAACUGUCCUCUUUCAAUGGUUUUAGCUCAAACCCUUUCACCACGGAAUAAAUAAAAUAGAUUAGAUAAGAUUAUUAGGUUACAUAAAAUAAAUAAGACUGAUUAGAUAAGAUAAAAUAAGAAAGUUAGGCAGUAGAUAGAAUAUAUAUUGCAUAUCAAUAUAUAUAUACAUUUCAGUUUGUUACAGAUAACAUUGCAAGUCUAUAUAUGUAUUAUAUAUUAUUGUAUAUGUGUGUAUAUAUUGUAUAUUGCUGUGAAUAACUUGUUACAGAUGUAUUUUACGUAUUCCAAAUAUCUUUGUGUUAUAUAUAUGUUAUAGUGAAAACACUAUCUGUGUUUAUUUGCUAUUUAUGCUGGUUUGAAAUAAAGUUUAUACAAUUA